rnacentral:lncRNA from 1 species
CAUGGAGGGUCUCCACAGCAAAGGAGCUCAGCUUCUCCUGAAGGCGGUGGUCCCCGGGGCCAGGAUUAGAUUAGAUUUACAAGCUCCUCUGGCUAUAGAUUGAGGAUGAAUCGAAAGGGGCAAGACUAGAGGCAGGGAGCCCGGGAGGAGGCCAGGAAUCCAACAUCCCGGCACGGGCGAUGCAGACGGGGACAGCGUGGGGCACUUGCCCUCGUCUUGGGAUGGGCCAGGAGAGAGGACAUGAAGUCCCCAUUUCACCUAAGAAUGCGGAAGUGGGAGAAGGCAGGGAGGUGGCGAUGAAGCCAGCGCUGGAAGCCCAAGGCUGCCGGGCUGUCCCGCUGUUCAUGGCUGAUGGAAAGCGAACCCAAGCGUCCGUGCCCUCAGCUGCCGCCCGCCUGCUUCCCCACAUCUGCGCUGCCUCCAGCUAAUGAAAGUGUUACUCCACGAAGCAGCAAGGUAAAGAAACUGAGGCUUGGAGAGGCAAAAUGAUUCGGCUGAGGCCCCACACUAGGUUCCUGACAAGCGUCUGGCUUCUGGACCAGAGUUCACAUCCCAUCCCAUCAGGCUGGAAGAGACUGCGGGUGAACUGAAUGCCUCUCAACGUCCCUUUCCACCCCUGGUGGCCAGGCUCAUUAGGAGAAAGGAUGUCAGAAUCUCAGUGGAGGUGUGAGGAUUUUUCUCCCAAAGUCAUAAAGCGGAAGGCAUCCUGCCUGUUUAACUGGCAGCCCGUCUUCUGGCCUCACCUCCCUUCAGGUACUGCUUUUUUAUCUCCUCCUAAAAUGCGGCAGCCCUUAUCGUCCCAAUCUCAAAUUUCACUCCAUUUUUUUUAUUACACAA